UGGCGGCGUGCUAACACAUGCAAAUCUUGACGGGAAAGUCCUCUUCGGAGGGCGAGUACAGUGGCGAACGGGUGAGUAACACGUGGGCAAUCUGCCCUCAGGAUCGGGAUAACCUUGCGAAAGCGGGGCUAAUACCGGAUAAGACCACGCAGUCUCCGGGCAGUGUGGGAAAAGGUGGCCUCUCCAUGGAAGCUAUCACCUGAGGAUGAGCCCGCGGCCUAUUAGCUUGUUGGUGGGGUAACGGCCUACCAAGGCGACGAUGGGUAGCCGGCCUGAGAGGGUGUACGGCCACACUGGCACUGAGACACGGGCCAGACUCCUACGGGAGGCAGCAGUGAGGAAUUUUGCGCAAUGGGGGAAACCCUGACGCAGCAACGCCGCGUGAGUGAUGAAGGCCUUCGGGUUGUAAAGCUCUUUUAGUGGGGAAGAAACAUUCCGGGACGAAUAAUCCCGGGACUUGACGGUACCCACAGAAAAAGUUCCGGCUAACUACGUGCCAGCAGCCGCGGUAAAACGUAGGGAGCAAGCGUUGUUCGGAAUCAUUGGGCGUAAAGAGCGCGUAGGCGGCGUGGCAAGUCCUAUGUGAAAGCCCACAGCUUAACUGUGGAACUGCAUCGGAAACUGCCAUGCUAGAGUUCGGGAGAGGAGAGUGGAAUUCCCAGUGUAGAGGUGAAAUUCGUAGAUAUUGGGAGGAACACCGGUGGCGAAGGCGGCUCUCUGGACCGAUACUGACGCUGAGGCGCGAAAGCUAGGGGAGC
rnacentral:rRNA from 1 species